GACGAACGCUGGCGGCGUGCUUAACACAUGCAAGUCGAACGGACAGGCCCUGCUUUUGUUGGUUGCUCGAUUGGCGAACGGGUGAGUAACACGUGAGUAACCUCCCCUUGACUUUGGGAUAACUUCAGGAAACUGGGGCUCAUACCGGAUAUGAUCUCCUGCUGCAUGUUGGGGGUUGGAAAGUUUCGGCGGUUGGGGAUGGACUCGCGGCUUAUCAGCUUGUUGGUGUGGUAGUGGCUUACCAAGGCUUUGACGGGUAGCCGGCCUGAGAGGGUGACCGGCCACAUUGGGACUGAGAGACGGCGCAGACUCGUACGGGAGGCAGCAGUGGGGAAUAUUGCACAAUGGGCGGAAGCCUGAUGCAGCAACGCCGCGUGCGGGAUGACGGCCUUCGGGUUGUAAACCGCUUUCGCCUGUGACGAAGAGUGAGUGACGGUAAUGGGUAAAGAAGCACCGGCUAACUACGUG
rnacentral:rRNA from 1 species